rnacentral:rRNA from 1 species
AUUGAACGCUGGCGGCAGGCCUAACACAUGCAAGUCGGGCGAGCGGCGGACGGGUGAGCAAUGUAUGAGGACCUGCCUGAUGGAGGGGGAUAACUACUGGAAACGGUAGCUCAUACCGCAUACCAUCAUAUGAACCCUUAUUGGAUUAGCUGGUAGGUAAGGUAACGGCUGACAUGGUCGACGAUCCCUAGCUAGUCUGAGAGGAUGAACAGCCACACUGGGACUGAGAAACGGCCAAGAUGCCGACGGUAGGCAGCAGUGGGGAAUAUUGCCAAAUGGGCGCAAGCCUGAUGCAGCAAGGCCGGGUGUGUGAAGAAGGCCUUCGGGUUGUAAAGUACGGUCAGUCGGGAGGCGUUACCGAAAGAGGAAGCAACGGCUAACUACGUGCCAGCAGCCGCGGUAAUUC